GCCUGGGUGGCUCAGUCGGUUGAGUGUCUGACUUCAGCUCAGGUCAUGAUCUCACAGUUCGUGGGUUCAAGCCCCGCAUCAGGCU
rnacentral:tRNA from 1 species